rnacentral:rRNA from 1 species
CCUACGGGAGGCAGCAGUGGGGGAUAUUGCUCAAUGGGCGAAACUCUGAUCCAGCGACGUCGCGUGAGUGAAGAAUGAUCUCGGUGUGUAAAGCUCUAUCAGCAGGGAAGAAAAUGACAGUACCUGACCAAGAAUCCCCGGCUAACUACGUGCCAGCAGCCGCGGUAAUACGUAGGGGGCAAGCGUUAUACGGAUUGACUGGGUGUAAAGGGGGCGUAGACGGUUAUGUAGGUCUGGAGUGAAAGCCCGGGGCCCAACCCCGAGACUGCUGUGGAAACUGUGUAACUGGAGUACAGGAGGGGCAGGCGGAAUUCGUGGUGUAGCGGUGAAAUGCGUAGAUAUCAGGAGGAACACCGGCGGCGAAGGCGGCCUGCUGGACUGAAACUGACGUUGAGGCUCGAAAGCGUGGGGAGCGAACAGGAUUAGAUACCCGAGUAGUC